rnacentral:rRNA from 1 species
UACGUAGGGUGCGAGCGUUGUCCGGAAUUACUGGGCGUAAAGAGCUCGUAGGUGGUUUGUCGCGUUGUUCGUGAAAACUCACAGCUCAACUGUGGGCGUGCGGGCGAUACGGGCAGACUGGAGUACUGCAGGGGAGACUGGAAUUCCUGGUGUAGCGGUGGAAUGCGCAGAUAUCAGGAGGAACACCGGUGGCGAAGGCGGUUCUCUGGGCCUUACCUGACGCUGAGGAGCGAAAGCAUGGGGAGCAAACAGG